rnacentral:rRNA from 1 species
UACGAAGGGGGGCUAGCGUUGUUCGGAAUCACUGGGCGUAAAGCGCACGCAGGCGGAUUGAUAAGUCAGGGGUGAAAUCCCGGAGCUCAACUUCGGAAUUGCCUUUGAUACUGUCUGUCUUGAGUCCGGGAGAGGUGAGUGGAAUUCCUAGUGUAGAGGUGAAAUUCGUAGAUAUUAGGAGGAACACCGGUGGCGAAGGCGGGUCUCUGGGCCGAUACUGACGCUGAGGAGCGAAAGCGUGGGGGAGCGAACAGG